rnacentral:rRNA from 2 species
ACGUCCUACGGGAGAAAGCAGGGGACCUUCGGGCCUUGCGCUAAUAGAUGAGCCUAAGUCGGAUUAGCUAGUUGGUGGGGUAAAGGCCUACCAAGGCGACGAUCUGUAGCGGGUCUGAGAGGAUGAUCCGCCACACUGGGACUGAGACACGGCCCAGACUCCUACGGGAGGCAGCAGUGGGGAAUAUUGGACAAUGGGGGGAACCCUGAUCCAGCCAUGCCGCGUGUGUGAAGAAGGCCUUUUGGUUGUAAAGCACUUUAAGCGAGGAGGAGGCUACUAGUAUUAAUACUACUGGAUAGUGGACGUUACUCGCAGAAUAAGCACCGGCUAACUCUGUGCCAGCAGCCGCGGUAAUACAGAGGGUGCGAGCGUUAAUCGGAUUUACUGGGCGUAAAGCGUGCGUAGGCGGCUGAUUAAGUCGGAUGUGAAAUCCCUGAGCUUAACUUAGGAAUUGCAUUCGAUACUGGUCAGCUAGAGUAUGGGAGAGGAUGGUAGAAUUCCAGGUGUAGCGGUGAAAUGCGUAGAGAUCU